rnacentral:ncRNA from 4 species
UGACUAGAUCUACACUCAUUGA